UACGUAGGGUGCGAGCGUUAAUCGGAAUUACUGGGCGUAAAGCGUGCGCAGGCGGUUUGUAAGCCAGGUGUGAAAUCCCCGGGCUCAACCUGGGAAUGGCAUUUGGGACUGCAAGGCUGGAGUGCGGCAGAGGAGACUGGAAUUCCUGGUGUAGCAGUGGAAAUGCGUAGAUAUCAGGAGGAACACCGAUGGCGAAGGCAGGUCUCUGGGCUGACACUGACGCU
rnacentral:rRNA from 1 species